CCUACGUGCGGCAGCAGUCGAGAAUCAUUCACAAUGGGGGAAACCCUGAUGGUGCGACGCCGCGUGGGGGAAUGAAGGUCUUCGGAUUGUAAACCCCUGUCAUGUGGGAGCAAAUUAAAAAGAUAGUACCACAAGAGGAAGAGACGGCUAACUCUGUGCCAGCAGCCGCGGUAAUACAGAGGUCUCAAGCGUGGUGCGGAAGCACUGGGCGUAAAGCGUGCGUAGGCUGUUUCGUAAGUCGUGUGUGAAAGGCGCGGGCUCAACCCGCGGACGGCACCUGAUACUGCGGGACUUGAGUAAUGGAGGGGGAAGCGGAAUUCGCGGUGUAGCGGUGAAAUGCGUAGAUAUCGCGAGGAACCCUCGUGGCGAAGGCGGGUUCCUGGAGAUUAACUGACGCUGAGGCACGAAGGCCAGGGGAGCGAAAGGGAUUAGAUACCCGGGUAGUC
rnacentral:rRNA from 1 species